AGUGAACGCUGGCGGUAUGCCUAACACAUGCAAGUCGAACGGCAGCACAGUAAGAGCUUGCUCUUACGGGUGGCGAGUGGCGGACGGGUGAGGAAUACAUCGGAAUCUACUUUUUCGUGGGGGAUAACGUAGGGAAACUUACGCUAAUACCUCAUACGACCUACGGGUGAAAGCAGGGGAUCUUCGGACCUUGCGCGAUUGAAUGAGCCGAUGUCGGAUUAGCUAGUUGGCGGGGUAAGGGCCCACCAAGGCGACGAUCCGUAGCAGGCCUGAGAGGAUGAUCAGCCACACUGGAACUGAGACACGGUCCAGACUCCUACGGGAGGCAGCAGUGGGGAAUAUUGGACAAUGGGCGCAAGCCUGAUCCAGCCAUACCGCGUGGGUGAAGAAGGCCUUCGGGUUGUAAAGCCCUGUUGUUGGGAAAGAACAGCAGCAGGUUAAUACCCCGCUGUUCUGACGGUACCCAAAGAAUAAGCACCGGCUAACUUCGUG
rnacentral:rRNA from 1 species